UACGUAGGGCGCAAGCGUUAUCCGGAAUUAUUGGGCGUAAAGAGCUCGUAGGCGGCGUGUCGCGUCUGCCGUGAAAACCCGGAGCUCAACUCCGGGCCUGCAGUCGAUACGGGCGGACUCGAGUUCGGCAGGGGAGACUGGAAUUCCUGGUGUAGCGGUGAAAUGCGUAGAUAUCUGGAGGAAUACCGGUGGCGAAGGCGGCAUCCUGGACCGGCAUUGACGCUGAGGAGCGAAAGCCAGGGGAGCAAACGGG
rnacentral:rRNA from 1 species